GACGAACGCUGGCGGCGUGCCUAAUACAUGCAAGUCGAGCGAAGUUUUUCUGGUGCUUGCACUAGAAAAACUUAGCGGCGAACGGGUGAGUAACACGUAAAGAACCUGCCUCAUAGACUGGGACAACUAUUGGAAACGAUAGCUAAUACCGGAUAACAGUAUUUCUCGCAUGAGAGAUAUUUAAAAGUUGGUUAUGCUAACACUAUGAGAUGGCUUUGCGGUGCAUUAGCUAGUUGGUGGGGUAAAGGCCUACCAAGGCGACGAUGCAUAGCCGGCCUGAGAGGGUGAUCGGCCACACUGGGACUGAGACACGGCCCAGACUCCUACGGGAGGCAGCAGUAGGGAAUCUUCCGCAAUGGGCGAAAGCCUGACGGAGCAACGCCGCGUGAGUGAAGAAGGAUUUCGGUUCGUAAAGCUCUGUUGUUAGGGAAGAAUGGAUAUGUAGUAACUAUAC
rnacentral:rRNA from 1 species